rnacentral:rRNA from 1 species
CAGCAGCCGCGGUAAUACAUAGGGGGCAAGCGUUAUCCGGAAUUAUUGGGCGUAAAGGGUGAGUAGGCGGUUUGUAAAGUUUAGGGUGUAAGUGCAGUGCUUAACGCUGUGAGGCUCUAAAAACUGGCAAACUAGAGUUAGAUAGAGGCAAGUGGAAUUCCAUGUGUAGCGGUAAAAUGCGUAAAUAUAUGGAGGAACACCAGUGGCGAAGGCGGCUUGCUGGGUCUAUACUGACGCUGAGGCACGAAAGCGUGGGGAGCAAACCGGAUUAGAUACCCGGGUAGUCCACGCCGUAAACGAUGAGUACUAAGUGUUGGAGAAAUUCAGUGCUGUAGUUAACGCAAUAAGUACUCCGCCUGAGUAGUACGUGCGCAAGCAUGAAACUCAAAGGAAUUGACGGGACCCCGCACAAGCGGUGGAUCAUGUUGUUUAAUUCGAAGAUACGCGAAGAACCUUACCAGGUCUUGACAUCCCCUGCAAAGCUAUAGAGAUAUAGUGGAGGUUACCAGGGUGACAGGUGGUGCAUGGCC